AGUGGAGCCUGCGGCUUAAUUUGACUCAACACGGGAAACCUCACCAGGCCCGGACACCGGAAGGAUUGACAGAUUGAGAGCUCUUUCUUGAUUCGGUGGGUGGUGGUGCAUGGCCGUUCUUAGUUGGUGGAGCGAUUUGUCUGGUUAAUUCCGAUAACGAACGAGACUCUAGCCUGCUAACUAGGCGUAUUUCGACAUCCCAAAGGCCCGCCGAUUUGAGGCUCCGGCUUCUUAUCGCGCGCGGUUUUUACUGUCGGCGUACAAACAAUUCUUCUUAGAGGGACAGGCGGCAUUUAGCCGCACGAGAUUGAGCAAUAACAGGUCUGUGAUGCCCUUAGAUGUUCUGGGCCG
rnacentral:rRNA from 1 species